rnacentral:rRNA from 1 species
UACGGAGGGGACUAGCGUUGUUCGGAAUUACUGGGCGUAAAGCGCACGUAGGCGGAUUUGUUAGUCAGGGGUGAAAUCCCGAGGCUCAACCUCGGAACUGCCUUUGAUACUGCAAAUCUCGAGUCCGGAAGAGGUGAGUGGAAUUCCUAGUGUAGAGGUGAAAUUCGUAGAUAUUCGGAAGAACACCAGUGGCGAAGGCGGAUCUCUGGGCCUUACCUGACGCUCAGGCGCGAAAGCUAGGGGAGCGAACAGG